CAAGCUUUACCUUCUUAUCUACCAUUAAUAUAUCUCGUAUCUACAGUGACUUCUGGUACUUGAAAAGAUUCAAGUAUGGUAUAAACCUCUCUUGAAUGAAUCUCAACAAUCUUAUCAUUAUCCCUUAACCCAAUAGAUGUAAUCAAUUCCAAUGAAUCUUUCAGUCCAUUUUCUUCAUAAACACCAAAAAUCCUCUCAUUAUCUUGCAAUGUACCUAACUUGCGUAAUCCUCCUUCAAUAUUAUAUAAUCUUUCUUAUACAUAAUAUUUCCAUUCUCUAAAAUACCAAUAAAACUCGCAUCAAAGGCACCUUCAUCUCGUGAGAGCAUCUCCUCUUUUGUACCUCCAUAAACUUGCUUUACAGUGGUACCUCCCCAAAAUCCUUAAAUCCUUCAACAAUCUUUGACAAUGGUUUCUCCCUCAACCUAUCUCAAUUCCGUUCAUGGUUAGGAGGUACUGUUAGAAAUUAUACAACUUUCCUCCCAUCCUCGCUACGUACCUUUGCAUAAGCAGAACCAUCGUCAUGUACUUUUGUUUCCAUCCGUGUUGUCGUAAUAUAAGGUUGUCCUAAAAUCAACGGAUAAGACAUUGUAUCUUGAACAAAGAAAUGUUGCUCCAUCGCAACAUCCCUAAUCCGAAUUUUGACAUCUAGACAAGCUCCAUAUAAUUUGCCCCGUGUAUUAUUAGCUGCUCAAAUUGCCCAUCCAUGUUCCAUAUCAAUUGGCCAUUUUUGCUUCUUAUAAAGAUCUUUAGACAUGAAAUUUAUUUCAGAACCAUGGUCGACUAACGCAACAAUUGAUUCUUCUAUAUCUCCUACUUUCACCAAUACCUCAGUAGUUGCCCUUGCUCAAUGCUUUCAAGUAUAAUGGCUCAAAGUUUCCAUUUCCUUAUCACUAUAAUCUUCGAAACGUACUUGUUGAUUAUACCCAUUCUUUUCAUUUGUUGGUUGCUUGUAACCAAUAUCAACCUCUUCUUCAUCUUUAUAUAUUCUUGCAUCAAUAGCAUGACUCAUUCCAGUUUUGUCCAUUAAUUACCUCUUUCGCUUAAUGCUGUCAAUGAUAACAUCAUGAAACUCCUUCUUUGCAAUUCCCAAAACUUCUUUCAAUGUGAAUUCUAUCUUAGCGUUUAAUAUAUGUUCGUUCUUCCAACACCCCUUUCAAAUUUGUUACCGCUUUAAUGUCAAAAAGUAGCUUAUAAGCAAUUGAUUUGCCCUUAUCUUUUGUCUCCCUUGUUUUUUCUUCCAAUGAUACUGAGGUAUCCUUUAUACGCAAUUCUUAUGAAGCUGCCUCCCGAGCCUUGUCUCCUCGAAUUUGCUUCUUAGAAGAAUUUCCUUCUCUCAUAUCAUCAAAAUUUCCUUGUCUCUAUUCUUCCAUGAAAGCUUCAUGUUGGCUCUUAGCAAUAUAUGCAUGAACUGAAAGAGACUCAACAGGAUCUUUCCAAUCUGUUGCACCUCGUAUUGUAGCUGUAGUCCUCAAUAACGCUUCUUGAGGUAAUUUCCCUUCUUGCAUUGUAGAAAUGGCAGAAGCCCAAAACUCACUAGUUUUCGUACUUGCACUAAGGUCAUCAUCUACUCUAGCACCAUA
rnacentral:lncRNA from 1 species